UGCUAAACAGCUAGCCCAACCAAUUAAAAGCAACAGCCACAUUUAAUUAACCCCACAUACCCAUAAUAUCUGCCCUAAAACAUUUUCCCUCUCUAGUAUGGGCGACAGAAAGAGACCCAGGAGCUAUAGAGACAGUACCGCAAGGGAAGGCUGAAAGAGAGAUGAAAUAGGACAAUCAAGCAAGGAAAAGCAGAGCUUAAGCCUCGUACCUUUUGCAUCAUGAGUCAACUAGUAUAAGCAAGCGAGGCGCGCCACAGUUUGCCCCCCCGAAACGAAGUGAGCUACUCCAGGACAGCCUUUUUACAAGGGCCAACCCGUCUCUGUGGCAAAAGAGUGGGAAGAUCCUCGAGUAGAAGUGAAACGCUUACCGAACUUCGUUAUAGCUGGUUGCCUGGGAAAUGAAUAUUAGUUCAGCCCCUUAUAUUCUUACACUCCCCAAGGAAAUUACCAGAAUGUAGGACAGCUAAAGACAUAAAGGGAGUUAUUCAAAGGGGGUACAGCCCCUUCGAAUUAAGACACAACUUUCUAAGGUGGUUAAGGAUUAUACACACUUAUAAGGGUAAUACCAUAGUGGGCCUGAAAGCAGCCAUCUAUUAAGAAAGCGUUAUAGCUCAAGCGCAAAAGCAACCCAUACAUGCCAGUAAAACUAUCCAAAACCCCGUCACGGACCAGGCCUUUCCACAGAGUGGAAGGGAAUAUGCUGAUAUGAGUAACAAGAGACCCCACGUCUCUCCCAGCAUAUGUGUAAAUCGGCGCGGACUAGCCACCGAAAAUUAACGGCCCCAAUCAAUGAGGGUAAUGAAUCACAGUAGAUCAUCUGGAAAAUCAAUCAUUACUAUCCCGUUACCCCUACACUGGUAUGCCCGAAGGAGGACUAAAAGAGAAAGAAGGAACUCGGCAAACUAAUUAAGCCUCGCCUGUUUACCAAAAACAUCGCCUCUUGCUAAAACCUAGAAUAAGAGGUCCAGCCUGCCCAGUGACACUAUGUUUAACGGCCGCAGUAUAUUAACUGUGCGAAGGUAGCGCAAUCACUUGUCUUUUAAAUGAAGGCCUGUAUGAAAGGCGUAACGAGGGCUUAACUGUCUCCUUUUUCAGGUCAGUGAAAUUGAUCUCCCCGUGCAGAAGCGGGGAUUAACACGUAAGACGAGAAGACCCAGUGGAGCUUGAGACAACAGGGCAGCCCAUAUCACCAGCCUUUUAAGGAGCUCAAGCUUGCUUGGAUCCUGCCCCAAUGUCUUCGGUUGGGGCGACCAUGGAGGAAACCCAACCCCCAUGUAGACUGGGACCCCCCUGGAAGACAUCUCUACCAAACCUUAGUACUCCUAGAAACUAGAGGCACUGCUCCAAUUAACGGAAUAUUCGACUAACAUUGAUCCGGGACAACCCGAUCAACGAAAUAAGUUACCCCUGGGAUAACAGCGCAAUCCCCUCCCAGAGUCCAUAUCGCCGAGGGGGUUUACGACCUCGAUGUUGGAUCAGGACAUCCUAAUGGUGCAACCGCUAUUAAGGGUUCGUUUGUUCAACGAUUAAUAGUCCUACGUGAUCUGAGUUCAGACCGGAGCAAUCCAGGUCAGCUUCUAUCUACGCUGCACUUUCCUCUAUUACAAAAGGACCGAAAAAAGGGGGCCCAUGUUUUAUAGUAAGCCCAACCCCUAUUAGGUGAAGACAUCUAAACCUUGAAGGGAGUGCAUAAACUUUGUGCUUAAACAUAAGCCG
rnacentral:rRNA from 1 species